AGUGAACGCUGGCGGCGUGCUUAACACAUGCAAGUCGAACGAGAACGGGUUAUAGCUUGCUAUAAUUGUCAGCUAAGUGGCGCACGGGUGAGUAAUGUAUAGGUAAUAUGCCUCUUACUAAGGGAUAACAAAUGGAAACGUUUGCUAAUACCUUAUACUCCUUAUUAACAUAAGUUAAUAAGGGAAAGAUUUAUUGGUAAGAGAUUAGCCUGUAUUGUAUCAGUUAGUUGGUGGGGUAAUGGCUUACCAAGACUAUGACACAUAACUGGUUUGAGAGGAUGAUCAGUCACACUGGAACUGAGACACGGUCCAGACUCCUACGGGAGGCAGCAGUGGGGAAUAUUGCACAAUGGACGAAAGUCUGAUGCAGCAACGCCGCGUGGAGGAUUACACAUUUCGGUGCGUAAACUCCUCUUAUAUGAGAAGAUAAUGACGGUAUUAUAUGAAUAAGCACCGGCUAACUCCGUGCCAGCAGCCGCCGUAA
rnacentral:rRNA from 1 species